rnacentral:rRNA from 1 species
UACGUAGGGUGCAAGCGUUAAUCGGAAUUACUGGGCGUAAAGCGUGCGUAGGCGGUUUGUUAAGUCUGUCGUGAAAGCCCCGGGCUCAACCUGGGAAUGGCGAUGGAAACUGGCGAGCUAGAGUACGGUAGAGGAGAGUGGAAUUCCCGGUGUAGCAGUGAAAUGCGUAGAGAUCGGGAGGAACAUCAGUUGCGAAGGCGGCUCUCUGGACCAGUACUGACGCUGAGGCACGAAAGCGUGGGGAGCAAACAGG